rnacentral:lncRNA from 1 species
AUUUCUUCAGAAGCGGGUGUGCCAAUUGGCAGAGAUGGUACGCCGAUUCCAAAUUAACCGACAUCAGCCUCAGGUAUUCCUCCGUUGUAUACUCCGUAGUCGGCUUCCUUGCAUUCGUCCCGACGUUAUUCACCUGAAAAAUCAACAACAAAAGAAACAGAUUAAACUCCAUUCAUCGCCAAUUCGCCAUUGAAAUAAGUCGCUUAUUUGCAGAGAAUUGGGGUUUUGACUAACGAGAAUGUUGAGAGUGCCGUUGUAAAGCGCGGAAACAUCGCGGACGAGCUUCUGCCUUUCGGAAGGAGACGACACGUCGCAGACUGAACCGGAGACGGAGAACCCUUUCUCCUUGCAUUGCUGCAAGAACUUGUUGAGCUCAGCUUCGUUUCUAGAACACGUAUGUACCUUAGCUCCCAGUCCAGCAAGUUCCUCUACUGUUGCAUAUCUGUCCAAACAAGGAAAGCAAAACCCCAGUUAAGAAUAGCCCAAGCCCGUUUUAAAACCAAAGAAGCCCAAUCUAAAUUAGGGAGCCGUUACAAGCCCGCUGAGGGACGGAAUAAACAAGAAAGUUCGUUUUCGCCUUUUCGGUCCUCUAAUAAUCCCCUUUGGCUGCUCUGUAGUUUUCAAUCGGCGUCAAACAAAAUCCCCUCCGCCGUCACUUUGCAUGGAUCACGAAUCGCGAUCAGCUCCGAAUCCGAUGAACAAUCUUUUAAUUAAACCGAUAUACUAACUAAUAUGGUUAUACGGGCGAGCUAUUCCAUAAUCAAGAAAAGUUAGUAAUGCGAGAGAAGAGGGGAGAAAAUCAAGAACGAACCCGAUGCCACGGGUGCCGCCGGUGACGAGAGCCGUGAAGCCGUGAAGGGACCAUCUCGCAGACGGGGAAUGGUGGUGGCCGUUUGUCGCUGCCAUGGGAUGAAGACGCUAGCUAGAUAUUGAAA